UCAAAUCUCUCCAGCCCACCUCGGGCCGGUCUCUACCCGGCUUUGGGCUGGGGGAGGUGGGGAGGGGGGAUAUGCCCCGGUGUAGACGGCGGAGGGGGCGUGGCACUCGCCGGCCGCGCCCCCGAACCUCCCUGGGCCUCAGUUUCCCCAUCCGUAAGACGGGAGUUAACGCUGGAACCUCCCGCCCGCGUUGUUGUGAAUAACGCGUGAGCCGGCGUGUGUAAAGCGCUCUGCAAGCCCGAAAGCGCUUCAGAGAGGCGGUAUUGGAGCGCCGUGUAAACGUGGCCGUUGAAGCUCGGGGCCGGUGUCGGCGACGGAGCACCCCGCGGGUGCCAGCUGCACCCCGUCUGCCUCAGUUUCCUCAUCUGCAGAGCGAGCUGGGGAAGGCGUCUCUGCCAAGAACACCGCGCGUGGGGUCACGAAGAGGCGGACACGAGUGGAAAACAAAUCCCCGUGGUUAGGGAAGCACGUCGUGCUUGCCGGCCGAGCGCUGGCAAGGACGGUUUCGUGUCAAGGUUAACCCUUGUUGUUGUUAACGGAGCGCAGGGCAAGUGCCCGCCGUCAGCGUGCCGUCUGAGGGCAUCGGUAAAGCUGGACACGCGGGCCGGCUGGCACUGAAGAGCCGCGUGAGCCUUGGCUGUGACACUAGUGUGGCGCCACGAGAGUGGAGCCCUGUAAGGACUGCCUUUUAUAAGUGCCCAUCUCGCAGGGUCGUUGAGACUGAUGUGUGUGAAGUGCUUUGGAAACGUUAAAGAAUAACAACAGCUGUAGCAUUCAAAUAGCAUCUACUGUUUGCCAGGCGCUUUGCCAUAAUUCUCUCGUUCGAUCCUCACAGUAAUCCUGGGACGCCGGUGCUGUUGUUAUCCCUUUUUUUAACUUUGGGGAAACUGAGGCAGACGGCGGUCCGAUGACUUGCCAAGGAUCGCGCAGCCAGGUCGGCAGACAAGAUGGCCACAGGCCUGUCCAGUCCACUGGCUGGCUUGGUUUCUGGGGCUGGGGGAGCCGUCGGCCAGGGCGAACUUUGAGUCCAUGGGAUUCCCCUGUUCCCUGGCUGUGCCCAUCAGCCCAUCUGUGGUGCAGCCUUUUGGAAGAUGAUUUGUAAGACAUCUUGGGCCUACGUGAUGUAAAAAUGCAUUUCUUGUCCAAAGGAAUAAAGGAAACCCCAUUU